rfam:Xenopus tropicalis strain Nigerian scaffold_1360_contig_3, whole genome shotgun sequence.
GUCUACGGCCAUUCCACCCUGAAAGCGCCCGAUCUCGUCUGAUCUCGGAAGCUAAGCAGGGACGGGCUUGGUUAGUACCUGGAUGGGAGACCGCCUGGGAAUACCAGGUGUUGUAGGCU